rnacentral:rRNA from 1 species
UACAGAGGUCUCAAGCGUUGUUCGGAUUCAUUGGGCGUAAAGGGUGCGUAGGUGGCGCCGUAAGUCGGAUGUGAAAUUUCGGAGCUUAACUCCGAAACUGCAUUCGAUACUGCGGUGCUUUGAGGACUGGAGAGGAGACUGGAAUUCAUGGUGUAGCAGUGAAAUGCGUAGAGAUCAUGAGGAAGACCAGUGGCGAAGGCGGGUCUCUGGACAGUUCCUGACACUGAGGCACGAAGGCCAGGGGAGCAAACGGG